AUUGAAACACCAGUUCUCGUAUGAUUACCAAAGUUAAGCAAUGUCAAGCCUGAUCAGUACUUAGAUGGAUGACUGCUCGGGAAUACCAAGGGCUGUAA